rnacentral:rRNA from 1 species
UGGGGAAUAUUGCACAAUGGGCGCAAGCCUGAUGCAGCCAUGCCGCGUGUAUGAAGAAGGCCUUCGGGUUGUAAAGUACUUUCAGCGGGGAGGAAGGUGUUGAGGCUAAUAACCUCAGCAAUUGACGUUACCCGCAGAAGAAGCACCGGCUAACUCCGUGCCAGCAGCCGCGGUAAUACGGAGGGUGCAAGCGUUAAUCGGAAUUACUGGGCGUAAAGCGCACGCAGGCGGUCUGUCAAGUCGGAUGUGAAAUCCCCGGGCUCAACCUGGGAACUGCAUUCGAAACUGGCAGGCUAGAGUCUUGUAGAGGGGGGUAGAAUUCCAGGUGUAGCGGUGAAAUGCGUAGAGAUCUGGAGGAAUACCGGUGGCGAAGGCGGUCCCCUGGACAAAGACUGACGCUCAGGUGCGAAAGCGUGGGGAGCAAACA